GCUUAUUCUCAGGGCGGGGCGAAAUUCCCCACCGGCGGUAAAUCAGCCAACGCUGAAAGCCCGCGAGCGCUCCACGCACGGCAUCACGUCCUGCAUGGAGGUCAGCAGAUCCGGUGUAAUUCCGGGGCCGACGGUUAAAGUCCGGAUGGGAGAGAGUAACG
rfam:Escherichia vulneris NBRC 102420 DNA, contig: EV10242008.